rnacentral:rRNA from 1 species
GACGAACGCUGGCGGCGUGCUUAACACAUGCAAGUCGAACGGAAAGGCCCUGCUUUUGUGGGGUGCUCGAGUGGCGAACGGGUGAGUAACACGUGAGUAACCUGCCCUUGACUUUGGGAUAACUUCAGGAAACUGGGGCUAAUACCGGAUAGGAGCUCCUGCUGCAUGGUGGGGGUUGGAAAGUUUCGGCGGUUGGGGAUGGACUCGCGGCUUAUCAGCUUGUUGGUGGGGUAGUGGCUUACCAAGGCUUUGACGGGUAGCCGGCCUGAGAGGGUGACCGGCCACAUUGGGACUGGGAUACCGCCCAGACUCCUACGGGAGGCAGCAGGGGGGAAUAUUGCACAAUGGGCGGAAGCCUGAUGCAGCAACGCCGCGGGCGGGAUGACGGCCUUCGGGGUGUAAACCGCUUUCGCCUGUGACGAAGCGUGAGUGACGGUAAUGGGUUAAGAAGCACCGGCUAACUUCGUG